CCGAACCCAUGGGGGUGCCCGCGAGGGCUGAGAAAAGCACACCCGUGCUUUAACCCCGGAACCUGAACUGGGUAAUGCCAGCGGAGGGAAUGGGCGUCUUCUCUUU
rnacentral:ncRNA from 2 species